rnacentral:tRNA from 1 species
CGGGGCGUAGCGCAGUUUGGUAGCGCACUUGGUUUGGGACCAAGGGGUCGCAGGUUCGAAUCCUGUCGCCCCGACCA